AACGAACGCUGGCGGCAUGCCUAACACAUGCAAGUCGGACGCUUUUGGGGGUUUCGGCCUCCAAGGGAGUGGCGGACGGGUGAGUAGCGCGUGGGAACCUGCCCCUUUGUGGGGGAUAACCGAGGGAAACUUCGGCUAAUACCGCAUGCGCCCGGGGGUAACUCCGGGGAAAGAUUUAUCGCAGAGGGAGGGGCCCGCGUCGGAUUAGGUAGUUGGUGGGGUAACGGCCUACCAAGCCUGUGAUCCGUAGCUGGUCUGAGAGGAUGAUCA
rnacentral:rRNA from 1 species